rnacentral:rRNA from 1 species
UACGGAGGGGGCUAGCGUUGUUCGGAAUUACUGGGCGUAAAGCGCACGUAGGCGGCUUUGUAAGUUAGAGGUGAAAGCCCAGGGCUCAACCCUGGAAUUGCCUUUAAGACUGCAUCGCUUGAACAUCGGAGAGGUAAGUGGAAUUCCGAGUGUAGAGGUGAAAUUCGUAGAUAUUCGGAAGAACACCAGUGGCGAAGGCAGCUCGCUGGGACGUUACUGACGCUGAGACGCGAAAGCGUGGGGAGCAAACAGG